rnacentral:rRNA from 1 species
GACGAACGCUGGCGGCGUGCUUAACACAUGCAAGUCGAACGAUGAAGCUGGAGCUUGCUCCGGUGGAUUAGUGGCGAACGGGUGAGUAACACGUGAGCAAUCUGCCCUUGACUCUGGGAUAACUGCGGGAAACUGUAGCUAAUACCGGAUAUGAGGCUCGAAGGCAUCUUCGGGUCUGGAAAGAAUUUCGGUCAAGGAUGAGCUCGCGGCCUAUCAGCUUGUUGGUGAGGUAAUGGCUCACCAAGGCGACGACGGGUAGCCGGCCUGAGAGGGUGACCGGCCACACGGGGACUGGGACACUGCCCAGACUCCUGCGGGAGGCAGAAGUGGGGAAUAUUGCACAAUGGGCGAAAGCCUGAUGCAGCAACGCCGCGUGAGGGAUGAAGGCCUUCGGGUUGUAAACCUCUUUUAGCAGGGAAGAAGCGAAAGUGGCGGUACCUGCAGAAAAAGCACCGGCUAACUACGUGCCAGCAGCCGCCGUAA